UACGGGGGGGGCUAGCGUUGUUCGGAAUUACUGGGCGUAAAGGGCUCGUAGGUGGCCAACUAAGUCAGACGUGAAAUCCCUCGGCUUAACCGGGGAACUGCGUCUGAUACUGGAUGGCUUGAGUUUGGGAGAGGGACGCGGAAUUCCAGGUGUAGCGGUGAAAUGCGUAGAUAUCUGGAGGAACACCGGUGGCGAAGGCGGCAUUCUGGACUGCAACUGACACUGAGGAACGAAAGCCAGGGGAGCAAACGGG
rnacentral:rRNA from 1 species